rnacentral:rRNA from 1 species
CCUUGUACACACCGCCCGUCACGUCAUGAAAGUCGGCAACACCCGAAGUCGGUGGCCUAACCCGCAAGGGAGGCAGCCGACCACGGUAGGGUCAGCGACUGGGGUG